UCCCUGGUGGCUCAGUUGGUAGAGAAUCUGCCUGCAAUGUGGGAGAGCUGGGGUUGAUCCCAGCUUGGGAA
rnacentral:tRNA from 1 species